UAGCAUAUCAAUAAGCGGAGGAAAAGAAACCAACCGGGAUUGCCCUAGUAACGGCGAGUGAAGCGGCAAGAGCUCAAAUUUGAAAGCUGGCUCCUUCGGGGUCCGCAUUGUAAUUUGCAGAGGAUGCUUCGGGAGCGGUCCCCAUCUAAGUGCCCUGGAACGGGCCGUCAUAGAGGGUGAGAAUCCCGUAUGGGAUGGGGUGCCCGCGCCCGUGUGAAGCUCCUUCGACGAGUCGAGUUGUUUGGGAAUGCAGCUCUAAUUGGGUGGUAAAUUUCAUCUAAAGCUAAAUAUUGGCCGGAGACCGAUAGCGCACAAGUAGAGUGAUCGAAAGAUGAAAAGCACUUUGAAAAGAGAGUUAAACAGCACGUGAAAUUGUUGAAAGGGAAGCGCUUGCGAUCAGACUCGCUCGCGGGGUUCAGCCGGCCUUCGGGCCGGUGUACUUCCCCGCGGGCGGGCCAGCGUCGGUUUGGGCGGCCGGUCAAAGGCCCCUGGAAUGUAACGCCUCUCGGGGCGUCUUAUAGCCAGGGGUGCCAUGCGGCCUGCCCGGACCGAGGAACGCGCUUCGGCUCGGACGCUGGCAUAAUGGUCGUAAGCGACCCGUCUUGAAACACGGACCAAGGAGUCUAACAUCUACGCGAGUGUUCGGGUGUCAAACCCGUGCGCGCAGUGAAAGCGAACGGAGGUGGGAACCCCUCGGGGUGCACCAUCGACCGAUCCUGAUGUCUUCGGAUGGAUUUGAGUAAGAGCGUAGCUGUUGGGACCCGAAAGAUGGUGAACUAUGCCUGAAUAGGGCGAAGCCAGAGGAAACUCUGGUGGAGGCUCGCAGCGGUUCUGACGUGCAAAUCGAUCGUCAAAUUUGGGUAUAGGGGCGAAAGACUAAUCGAACCAUCUAGUAGCUGGUCUGCG
rnacentral:rRNA from 1 species